AUGAACGCUGGCGGCGUGCCUCAUACAUGCAAGUCGAGCGAACAGAUGAGGAGCUUGCUCCUCUGACGUUAGCGGCGGACGGGUGAGUAACACGUGGAUAACCUACCUAUAAGACUGGGAUAACUUCGGGAAACCGGAGCUAAUACCGGAUAAUAUAUUGAACCGCAUGGUUCAAUAGUGAAAGACGGUUUUGCUGUCACUUAUAGAUGGAUCCGCGCCGCAUUAGCUAGUUGGUAAGGUAACGGCUUACCAAGGCAACGAUGCGUAGCCGACCUGAGAGGGUGAUCGGCCACACUGGAACUGAGACACGGUCCAGACUCCUACGGGAGGCAGCAGUAGGGAAUCUUCCGCAAUGGGCGAAAGCCUGACGGAGCAACACCGCGUGAGUGAUGAAGGUCUUCGGAUCGUAAAACUCUGUUAUUAGGGAAGAACAAAUGUGUAAGUAACUAUGCACGUCUUGACGGUACCUAAUCAGAAAACCACGGCUAACUACGU
rnacentral:rRNA from 1 species